GAUGAACGCUGGCGGCGUGCCUAAUACAUGCAAGUCGAGCGAACGGACGAGAAGCUUGCUCCUAUGAUGUUAGCGGCGGACGGGUGAGUAACACGUGGAUAACCUACCUAUAAGACUGGGAUAACAUCGGGAAACCGGAGCUAAUACCGGAUGAUAUUUUGAACCGCAUGGUUCAAAAGUGAAAGACGCUCUUGCUGUCACUUAUAGAUGGACCCGCGCUGCAUUAGCUAGUUGGUAAGGUAACGGCUUACCAAGGCAACGAUGCAUAGCCGACCUGAGAGGGUGAUCGCACACACUGGAACUGAGACACGGUCCAGACUCCUACGGGAGGCAGCGGUAGGGAAUCUUCCGCAAUGGGCGAAAGCCUGACGGAGCAACGCCGCGUGAGUGAUGAAGGUCUUCGGAUCGUAAAACUCUGUUAUUAGGAAAGAACAUAUGUGUAAGUAACUGUGCACAUCUUGACGGUACCUAAUCAGAAAGCCACGGCUAACUACGUG
rnacentral:rRNA from 1 species